rnacentral:rRNA from 1 species
AGAUUGAACGCUAGCGGGAUGCUUUACACAUGCAAGUCGAACGGCAGCGCGGACUUCGGUCUGGCGGCGAGUGGCGAACGGGUGAGUAAUAUAUCGGAACGUGCCCAGUAGCGGGGGAUAACUACGCGAAAGCGUGGCUAAUACCGCAUACGCCCUACGGGGGAAAGGGGGGGAUCGCAAGACCUCUCACUAUUGGAGCGGCCGAUAUCAGAUUAGCUAGUUGGUGAGGUAAAGGCUCACCAAGGCGACGAUCUGUAGCUGGUUUGAGAGGACGACCAGCCACACUGGGACUGAGACACGGCCCAGACUCCUACGGGAGCAGCAGUGGGGAAUUUGGACAAGUGGGGAAACCUGAUCCAGCCAUCCCGCGUCGCGCGAUGAAGGCCUUCGGGUUGUAAAGCACUUUAGGUCGAGGAAGGAAACGGUACGGUCGACCCGUAACUACGGACGUACACGUA